rnacentral:rRNA from 1 species
AGUAGCCGCGGUAAUUCCAGCUCCAAUAGCGUAUAUUAGAGUUGUUGCAGUUAAAAAGCUCGUAGUUGAAUUUUAGGCCUGGCCGGGCGGUCCGUAUUUGUGGGUACUGUCUUGUUGUCGGGUCUUCCUUCUGGUGAACCAGUAUGCCCUUUAUUGGGUGUGUUGGGGAGCCAGGACCAUUACCUUGAAAAAAAUUAGAGUGUUUAAAGCGGGCUAUUGCUUGAAUAGAUUAGCAUGGAAUAAUAGAAUAGGACGUUGUGGUUCUAUUUUUGUUGGUUUCUAGGACCACCGUAAUGAUUAAUAGGGAUAGUUGGG